rnacentral:rRNA from 1 species
CCUACGGGAGGCAGCAGUGAGGAAUAUUGGUCAAUGGGCGAGAGCCUGAACCAGCCAAGUCGCGUGAAGGAUGACGGCCCUACGGGUUGUAAACUUCUUUUGUCAGGGAGCAAUUGAGUCCACGUGUGGGCUUAGCGAGAGUACCUGAAGAAAAAGCAUCGGCUAACUCCGUGCCAGCAGCCGCGGUAAUACGGAGGGCGCGAGCGUUAAUCGGAAUUACUGGGCGUAAAGCGCGCGUAGGCUGUUGUGUAGGUUGGGGGUGAAAUCCCACGGCUCAACCGUGGAACAGCCCUUGAUACUGCGCGACUUGAAUCCGGGAGAGGGUGGCGGAAUGCGCGGUGUAGCGGUGAAAUGCAUAGAUAUCGCGCAGAACUCCGAUUGCGAAGGCAGCAUGCCGGCUCCACACUGACGCUGAGGCACGAAAGCGUGGGUAUCGAACAGGAUUAGAUACCCGGGUAGUC